rnacentral:lncRNA from 1 species
AGAGUAAUGGCUUUGGAGAGUUCUUGCUGUUGUAGUACAUAGCCAAUCCUUUAGGCUCCACCACCAAGCUAUAAGGUCCAUCUUUGUUUUCAGUCUCCGAUGCUCGACUCACGAGCUUGCUUACUGUUCCGGCACCUAGUGAUUGACUUGCUACAAGAGUGUCUGUAGGGGAGUCGAAGCUUUGCCAGACAGACUUGCCCUUUGAGUUGUAAAGAACCAUGUUUCCGUUUCGAAGCAACUUGAAGCGCACCGCCCCUUUGUUAGCAGUGUUGCUUUGCCAAGCCACUCGACCAUCACCAUCUGCCAAGACAAUGUUUCCAUUGGUUCCCAGAGAGAAGGUAGCGUUUUCGCCAACUGGGUUUCCCCGGUUGGCCUCCCAAACCCAACGAUAGUAUGACUCAGAUUUCUUCAAACCCAUGCGCAGAGCAAGAGUGAAGGAGUCGGGAGUGGUGUUGUAGAAAGCAAGCUGGAAGGGGGAGGCAAAGAGAUCCAGCAUACGAUAGGAGGCAUCGUAUUCAACGAUGUAAGGCCAAAAUUCUCCAGAAUUGACAAACUUGAAAGUUUCAUUCGCGGGAAUUUGAGCU